UUGAAAUACCGGUUCCCAUAUGAUCCGUAAAGUUAAGUAACGUUAAGCCUGGUCAGUACCUGGAUGGAUGACCACUUGAGAAUACCAUGUGCUGUAAG